UCUCCUACGGGGCGCAGCAGUGGGGAAUAUUGCACAAUGGGGGAAACCCUGAUGCAGCGACGCCGCGUGAGUGAAGAAGUAAUUCGUUAUGUAAAGCUCUAUCAGCAGGGAAGAAAAUGACGGUACCCAAGGAAUAAGCCCCGGCUAACUACGUGCCAGUAGCCGCGGUAAUACGUAGGGGGCAAGCGUUGUUCGGAAUGACUGGGCGUAAAGGGUGUGUAGGCGGUGUAGCAAGUUAGAAGUGAAAUACCUAGAGCUUAACUCAGGUGCUGCUUCUAAAACUGCUAUACUU
rnacentral:rRNA from 1 species